UGAUGGCCAGGCUGUCUCCACCCGAGACUCAGUGAAAUUGAACUCGCUGUGAAGAUGCAGUGUACCCGCGGCAAGACGGAAAGACCCCGUGAACCUUUACUAUAGCUUGACACUGAACAUUGAGCCUUGAUGUGUAGGAUAGGUGGGAGGCUUUGAAGUGUGGACGCCAGUCUGCAUGGAGCCGGCCUUGAAAUACCACCCUUUAAUGUUUGAUGUUCUAACGUGGACCCGUGAUCCGGGUUGCGGACAGUGUCUGGUGGGUAGUUUGACUGGGGCGGUCUCCUCCUAAAGAGUAACGGAGGAGCACGAAGGUUGGCUAAUCCUGGUCGGACAUCAGGAGGUUAGUGCAAUGGCAUAAGCCAGCUUGACUGCGAGCGUGACGGCGCGAGCAGGUGCGAAAGCAGGUCAUAGUGAUCCGGUGGUUCUGAAUGGAAGGGCCAUCGCUCAACGGAUAAAAGGUACUCCGGGGAUAACAGGCUGAUACCGCCCAAGAGUUCAUAUCGACGGCGGUGUUUGGCACCUCGAUGUCGGCUCAUCACAUCCUGGGGCUGAAGUAGGUCCCAAGGGUAUGGCUGUUCGCCAUUUAAAGUGGUACGCGAGCUGGGUUUAGAACGUCGUGAGACAGUUCGGUCCCUAUCUGCCGUGGGCGCUGGAGAACUGAGGGGGGCUGCUCCUAGUACGAGAGGACCGGAGUGGACGCAUCACUGGUGUUCGGGUUGUCAUGCCAAUGGCACUGCCCGGUAGCUAAAUGCGGAAGAGAUAAGUGCUGAAAGCAUCUAAGCACGAAACUUGCCCCGAGAUGAGUUCUCCCUGAGACUUUAGGUCUCCUGAAGGAACGUUGAAGACGACGACGUUGAUAGGCCGGGUGUGUAAGCGCAGCGAUGCGUUGAGCUAACCGGUACUAAUGAACCGUGAGGCUUAACCUUACA
rnacentral:rRNA from 1 species